rnacentral:rRNA from 1 species
AACGUAGGAGGCAAACGUUAUCCGGAAUUACUGGGCGUAAAGCGCGCGCAGGCGGCUUUGUAAGUCCGACGUGAAAGCUCCUGGCUUAACUAGGAGAGGCCGUUGGAAACUACAGAGCUUGAGGUUGGGAGAGGAAAGUGGAAUUCCCGGUGUAGUGGUGGAAUGCGUAGAUAUCGGGAGGAACUCCAGUGGCGAAGGCGACUUUCUGGCCUACACCUGACGCUGAGGCGCGAAAGCGUGGGGAGCGAACAGGAUUAGAUACCCUCGUA